CCAACGUGCAUGGCUCUAGUACGGCGAGUGAAGCAGCCAAAGCUCAAAUUUGAAAGCUCCUAACAAGGCGCAUUGUAAUUUGAAGAUGGUAUUCCGAGUUAGUCCUUUACCUCAGUUCCUUGGAACAGGACGCCAUAGAGGGUGAGAGCCCCGUGUGGUAUUGGUAGCUUUCUCAUGUGGUUUACCUUCGAAGAGUCGAGUUGUUUGGGAAUGCAGCUCUAAGUGGGUGGUAAAUUCCAUCUAAAGCUAAAUAUUGGCGAGAGACCGAUAGCGAACAAGUACUGUGAAGGAAAGAUGAAAAGAACUUUGAAAAGAGAGUGAAAAAGUACGUGAAAUUGUUGAAAGGGAAGGGAAUUGGACUAGACUUGGAUUUCUGUUAUCAGCAGUCUUUCGGGGCUGUGCACUAGCAGUUUUCUAGGCCAGGAUCUGUUUGGAGGCCAGGAUAAAACCCAAAGAAUGUGGCUCUUCGGAGUGUUAUAGCUUUGGUUGAAUACUGGCAUUCUGGACAGAGGACCGCGCU
rnacentral:rRNA from 1 species